rnacentral:rRNA from 1 species
CACAAGCGGUGGAGCAUGUGGUUAAUUCGACGCAACGCGAAGAACCUUACCAGGGCUUGACAUCCCCUGACCGCGUAUGAAAGUACGUUUUCACCCUCGGGUGACAGGGAGACAGGUGGUGCAUGGUUGUCGUCAGCUCGUGUCGUGAGAUGUUGGGUUAAGUCCCGCAACGAGCGCAACCCCUAUUGUUAGUUGCCAUCAUUCAGUUGGGCACUCUAGCGAGACUGCCGGUAAUAAACCGGAGGAAGGUGGGGAUGACGUCAAAUCAUCAUGCCCCUUAUGACCUGGGCUACACACGUGCUACAAUGGUUGGUACAACGAGUUGCGAGUCGGUGACGGCGAGCUAAUCUCUUAAAGCCAAUCUCAGUUCGGAUUGUAGGCUGCAACUCGCCUACAUGAAGUCGGAAUCGCUAGUAAUCGCGGAUCAGCACGCCGCGGUGAAUACGUUCCCGGGCCUU